GACGAACGCUGGCGGCGUGCUUAACACAUGCAAGUCGAGCGGUAAGGCCCUUUCGGGGGUACACGAGCGGCGAACGGGUGAGUAACACGUGGGUGACCUGCCCUCAGCUCUGGGAUAAGCCUGGGAAACCGGGUCUAAUACUGGAUAUGACUCCAUGACGCAUGUUGUGGGGUGGAAAGCCUUGUGCGGCUGAGGAUGGGCCCGCGGCCUAUCAGCUUGUUGGUGGGGUGANGGCCUACCAAGGCGACGACGGGUAGCCGGCCUGAGAGGGCGACCGGCCACACUGGGACUGAGACACGGGCCCAGACUCCGUACGGGAGGCAGCAGGUGGGGAAUCUUGCGC
rnacentral:rRNA from 1 species